rnacentral:rRNA from 1 species
GAUAAACGCUGGCGGCGUGCCUAAUACAUGCAAGUCGAGCGAACGGACGAGAAGCUUGCUUCUCUGAUGUUAGCGGCGGACGGGUGAGUAACACGUGGAUAACCUACCUAUAAGACUGGGAUAACUUCGGGAAACCGGAGCUAAUACCGGAUGAUAUUUUGAACCGCAUGGUUCAAAAGUGAAAGACGGUCUUGCUGUCACUUAUAGAUGUAUCCGCGCUGCAUUAGCUAGUUGGUAAGGUAACGGCUUACCAAGGCAACGAUGCAUAGCCGACCUGAGAGGGUGAUCGGCCACACUGGAACUGAGACACGGUCCAGACUCCUACGGGAGGCAGCAGUAGGGAAUCUUCCGCAAUGGGCGAAAGCCUGACGGAGCAACGCCGCGUGAGUGAUGAAGGUCUUCGGAUCGUAAAACUCUGUUAUUAGGGAAGAACAUAUGUGUAAGUAACUGUGCACAUCUUGACGGUACCUAAUCAGAAAGCCACGGCUAACUACGUG